UACGUAGGGGGCAAGCGUUGUCCGGAUUUAUUGGGCGUAAAGAGCGUGUAGGCGGCCAGACAGGUCUGCUGUGAAAACUCGAGGCUCAACCUCGAGACGCCGGUGGAAACCGUUUGGCUAGAGUCCGGAAGAGGAGAGUGGAAUUCCUGGUGUAGCGGUGAAAUGCGCAGAUAUCAGGAAGAACACCCAUGGCGAAGGCGGCUCUCUGGGACGGUACUGACGCUGAGACGCGAAAGCGUGGGGAGCGAACAGG
rnacentral:rRNA from 1 species